AUGGACUGGGAGAUGUGUGUUCCAGAACGAAGGAAAAAGGGUAGCAGAGUCCUGUCGUCAAUUUUCUUAAGGGAUUUGUGGCAUGAGGACCACUUGGAAUGAUGUAAGCACAUGCUGCCUUAUCAAUGCCUUCAAUCCAGCGGCUGUGGAAACUGGGUAAAAAAACGUACAACUUUUCAGAGCAUCUGAAGACAGAAAGGAAAGACAAGAAGAAACUGUAAACUGUUCAGAUAGCUGGGGACAGUGGGCAUCCUUAUAUUUAACUCUCAUCGCAAGUUUCUCUGUUCCUUGUAAACUGAAUGAGCUUCAAGAGUCCUCAUUUGGCCAUGUAGCUUUAAAAUAAAAGGCAAUAACCUGAGGAUUUUGAUUGGGUCUCUGCUCAGACCAACCUAAAAGAACAUAAGAUUCCACAUAUAAUUGAUAUCAUAUCCAAGGAAAACCCUAAUUGGAAAAGAUACAUGCACCCCAAUGUUCAUUACAGCACUGUUUAUGAUAACCAAAACAUGAAAGCAACCUAAAUGUCCAUCAACAGAGGAAUGGAUAAAGAAGAUGUGGCACAUAUAUGAAAUACAUAAAUGAAAUACUACUCAGCCAUAAAAAAUAAUGAAAUAAUGCCAUUUGCUACAACAUGGUUGGACCUAGAGAUGAUCAUAGUGAGUGAAGUCUGGACAAAGCUCCCAGGUGACAAUGAUGGGCCUUGUUGGUGUGCAGUGCUGGUGGAACAGUGAGUACAGAGGAGAGGGCUUGUGGUCUGUGUGUUUCACUGCAGGAUACAAAUCCUGCAGCCGAAUCUGGCAACUAUUAUGAGGCUGAAAUAAGCACAUAUAGUCACCGAACAAAGCCACCAAAUUAUGUGUUUAACAUAAUAAUAAUUAUAAAAGCUUUAUAGGCAUCAUUUUGAACUAUCUACUGCCAUGAGUCCCGAGGGCUUCCUUCAACUCUGGGGAACACUGAAAAAUGAACAGUGACAGGAAGCUGGGGUGGAGAGCGGGCUCAGCCAUUAGUUUUUUUUGUGUGUGUGAGCAAUUGUUUUAAAGUUCAAAUGCAAUACUCACUGUAUCAUUUGUCCCCACAAAUUACCCCUUAGAUGGUUUACUACGAGUGCCAGCUUCUCUAGGGUACCUUCAGGAUUUUUACAAGUGGGCCCAGCAAACAAUGAUUAUUCUUCUUCAAGAAACUAUCCAGAGUGGCUUGUUACAUGACAGACAUGUGGUUUGAGUUUUGUUGUAAAGGCAGAACAAAGGAUCUGAGAGUGUUUCUUUUCAUUAUUGGAGCUGUGUGGCUCUGGGGGAACACGAGAUAGUUCAUUAUUCAAAUGAGAAUUUUUUUUUGCCUUUCAUUUUCGGUUUUAUUUCUGUAUAUCCAUGACAUUUCAGCAAGCAAGCUGCCUCCUCCAGAAGCACCAUCUGCUUUUCUUUUCAACUGUGACACCAUCUGAGAGAAUACCUUCUCACUCUUAGAAAUACAUGUGGGGUGAGGGGAAUGGUGUUGUCAAUUAUAUAUAUGGUUACGUAUGAAUAUAUACACAUAUAGGUAUGUAUCUCUCUGUGUGCAUGUGUACUCUUUUGCUUGUGUUAACACUAGAGCACAGAUGUACAAUCAAGAAAUUUGGUUUCAGUAAGAUAACCAAGCAAACAUUUCCAACCCAACUUUCUCUCAUGUCUCAAAAUCCUUCUCAGUGCAAUAGGAUGUCAAUUUCAUGAGCACAGGGAUUUUUGUCCAUUUGUUUAUUCCUAUAUUUCUGGCAUCUAAGAGAGUGUCUUGUGGGAGUUCCCCUCAUGGCUCAGCAGUAAAUGAACUCGACUAGGAUCCAUGAGGAUGAGGGUUCGAUCCCUGGCCUCGAUCAGUGAGUUAAGGAUCUGGCAUUGCCAUGAGCUAUGUUGUAGGUCACAGACAUGGCUCGGAUCCCAUGUUUCUGUGGCUGUGGCAUAGGCUGGCAGCUGUAACUCCCUCUGAUUUGACCCCUAGCCUGGAAGAGAAAAAAAAAAAAAAAAAAAAAAAAAAAAAG
rnacentral:lncRNA from 1 species